CAACAAACAGCAACGAGAAAAUCUGGUGCUAACUUCUACAUAUGUGACAGGCCCUGAGUUACCUCGAGGGGAUUCAGAGGAUGCAUGGACUAGAAAGUAAACGGAGGGGGAACACAGGGAACUUCAGCUGCAAUAAAAGUACCUCUGUAGGAUCCGAGUUACCCUGAGCUGUACAGGACUGAACGUGAAGGAGGAAAAAGGUGCUGUGAACACUUUACUGCCUGCACCCACAAACUGUCUGCUUUAUCCCUGUUUGAAAGCCAGAGAUGGUGAUGGCCCCCAGCUUUAUGAAAUAAAUAUCAGUGUGCAAGUUACCG
rnacentral:lncRNA from 1 species